UUCGUAUUUAAAAAGGCUACGCUUGCUCUGGCCAACACAGCUAAUUUAAAGACAACAUUGUAUGUGUGAUAUCACACUCCAGGGCAGUAGGUGGCGGUAUCAUAGACAAUUUUAAGAAGACCAAGAGCUUUUAACCAAUCAGAAGAAGGGGACCUUUAUUCAAUAACUUCAUUUUCAUGACCGCGAAAAUAAUCGCCUAAAUGUAAGUUUCGUUUUGCGCUUUAAUGUAAAGCAAUAUCGUCAGUUAUUUAUGUAUUUGAUGUCAGUUGUUGACACGUAUUUAUUUGAGGACCAAACACAGUUUUUGAGUGACUUGUUGUGUGAAUGUGAACAUGGUAAAACACAUUACAAAACGCCUGAUCUAUGAAAGAAUCGAGACCAUGUGAAUCUUGACUUUGGUGGAUCUCCCAAACGGUGAACUGUUAACCCUUGAGUAUUGCUUGAGUCGGGUGGGCCGCAUGCAUUCCGAACACUCAUCCAAUAGGAAGAGGGAGGGACGGCGGGCGACUGGGAGUACCAGCGCCUGGGAGAGUGCCAUUCAGCGUGGCCGCUGGAGGGACAAACGAACGUCAUCAGCGGUGUUGAUCGGCAGCGAGGACAAAGAUCUCAUCGAGCUCAUCAAUGAUCAGUCGGACAUGGAGCUGGCAGCCGCCACAGAAAUGCCUUUAGUUGAUGCGGCGGUGUUGGUGAAAGGUGGCGACGAGGAGACAGAGUCCACAACCAAAGGUCUAAACUCUGGGCAUGACUCUUCUAACUGCUCAAUGGACGGCCUGUGCUCGGGCCCCUCCUCUCCGAAAGAGGACCCCGAUGUGGGGCGAAGCUACGCCCAGGGCCUGUGUCUCUGCUGCCAGACGCUGUUGAAGAGGGCAACACACAGCUGGCCUUUAAAGGCCAAGCUGCUGGAAACUGACCCAAAAUCCUUAUCCUGUGACCAGUGGGUGUUGAAGAAGAGGUGGAAAUCGAGUGGGCGGCCGGUUCUCAAGAGUAAGCUUCAGGGUUGCUUGAAGCGGAUUCAGAGAAGACGGAGCGAUGUUUACAACGUCAUGCAAGGCCAGCCGGCCUGCUCCAGAGCACACACUUUUCUACAGAGGAACCUGAGACGCUGCACCAAGGCGUCGGCCAGGAGGGGGAGGAAGAGGAAGCGCACGAGUAGAAGGAUGGAGGAGACGACGACGACGAUGGGGAAGAGGGCCAGGUGCGACCCCCACCAAAAAGAGCCUAGCCCCACCGCUCCCCACGGUCAGAGUGUCGACAACCCGUCGCCUCUCGAUAGUCUGAGCGAGGAGGAGGAUGCUGAGGCGCAGGACUCCGCCCACAGCUCCCUGGAGGUGGUCCCCUCCCUGGUCGCCAUAGAUUUCACGGUCGACCAGAAAGCGGGAGCCAGUAAGGGUGGUCCAGCAAAGAGGGGCGGCUUCAAGGACCUGUUGAUUCAGUUGCGGGGUAACAGCAGCAAGAUAGUGAGAGAAACAGAUCACCAUUGACCACCAUGGAAUGGUGUUCUGAUGGACGUGUUUGUGCGGAACAGUGUUUUCACUGAACGCACCGUUACCUUGGUGUUCUGAUGGACGUGUUCGUGCGGAACAGUGUUUUCACUGAACGCACCGUUACCUUGGUGUUCUGAUGGACGUGUUUGUGCGGAACAGUGUUUUCACUGAACGCACCGUUACCUUGGUGUUCUGAUGGACGUGUUCAUGCGGAAUAGUGUUUUUCACUGAAUGCAUAACUGUUCGUGCAGACAUAACUGUUCGUAACAAGGACGUUGUUAUGGACAAAACCGUCAACUGGGUGAUCGGAAGAAGUGUUUGAGUGGAAUAGCAUUGUACAUUACCCCACUGUUACCAUGGAGAUCUGAUGGAAAUGUUUGUGCUGAAUGGACUUGUAAUUGACUGCACUGUUACUAUGGUGAUCUGAUGGAAGUAUUAAUAUAGAAAACCGUUGUAAGCAUUAUGCGUUUCUGUGUUCUAAUUCGACUCAGAUCUCAGAUAUAUUUUCGGGCACAUCAAUUACAUACAUUUCCCUAAUUUGAUUUUUCUUUUUACAAGAUUUACCAGAAGAAAAACGUUUUAUUUUCAAGAAAUAUAGCAAUUAAUAUUAGGCAACUUGACAUCGCAUCAAAAAUGCAAAGCAAAGGUAUAACAUGUUGAACCAGAAAAUGGCAUAUUUGUCUGUUUACUUGUGGCGUCCUCUUGACCGUUUGCUGUCAUCCGAACGACCACACGGUGGCGCCACAUGGCAGAAAUCCAAUAGGAGAACCUUCAGGGUCGUUCAGAUCACAGUCACUGCAUUGACUGUUCCGACCCGUUGCUGCCAUACGUCAACGUUGACGCCAAAUUUGAUAUGCAAAGACGCCGGUAAACGAAUUGAAGAAAACGGUUGAGCUGCUGGAGUCCUGAUGGAUUAAAAGCACAAACGUUUCCAACGAAAUUCAAUGAUUCGUUUUUAUAUACAUAUUUAAUAAUUUAUUUAUAUAAAACAUAAAGGUGAAAAAUAAGAGGUGGGUUACUCCUCAUAUAUUCAUAUAAAAUGGGUAUUGUAUAUAUUUUAAUUUUUUUUCCAUCAUAACCCCAUGAAUAAAAACGACUCAAUCCUUUGGGAAAUGUAAACGUUGUAGUGCUUUCUAUCAAUAAAAACCGAAGCUCCCCUGUUUAAUUGUAUUACUUGCCUCUCCAAUAUUGCGGCUUAAGUUGACGUAUCGCAUCAAUGCGACUAUGUAUAUAUGGCUAUGGUUCAGACUCUCCACUCCUGUUCCUCUCAGAGCGUUCUUGUUAGUUCACGCCAUUCUUAUCUCUGCUGCUCUACUGGGACCAUGAGUGUUUUGUCAUUCGAUAGGUGGAAAUCCACAGACUCAGG
ensembl:lncRNA